GCCGCGGUAAUACGUAGGGGUCGAGCGUUGGCCGGAGUUACUGGGCGUAAAGCGUGCGCAGGCGGUGAUGUAAGACAGGUGUGAAAGCCCCGGGCUCAACCUGGGAACUGCGUUUGGUACUGGCAAGCUAGAGUACGGCAGAGGGGGGUGGAAUUCCACGUGUAGCAGUGAAAUGCGUAGAGAUGUGGAGGAACACCGAUGGCGAAGGCAGCCCCCUGGGCCGAUACUGACGCUCAGGCACGAAAGCGUGGGGAGCAAACAG
rnacentral:rRNA from 1 species